UAAGGAAUAUUGGACAAUGGAGGCAACUCUGAUCCAGCCAUGCCGCGUGAAGGACGAAGGCGCUAUGCGUCGUAAACUUCUUUUGAACGGGAGAAAACCCCAGGUCGUGUACCCAGGCUGAUAGUACCGUUAGAAUAAGGGUCGGCUAACUUCGUGCCAGCAGCCGCGGUAAUACGAAGGACCCGAGCGUUAUCCGGAUUCAUUGGGUUUAAAGGGUGCGUAGGCGGAUUGAUAAGUCAGUGGUGAAAGCCCAUCGCUUAACGAUGGAACUGCCAUUGAUACUGUCGAUCUUGAGUACAUUUGAAGUGGGCGGAAUGUGUCAUGUAGCGGUGAAAUGCUUAGAUAUGACACAGAACACCGAUUGCGAAGGCAGCUCACUAAACUGUAACUGACGCUGAGGCACGAAAGCGUGGGGAUCAAACAGGAUUAGAUACCCCCGUAGUCC
rnacentral:rRNA from 1 species